rnacentral:rRNA from 1 species
UACGUAGGGUGCGAGCGUUAAUCGGAAUUACUGGGCGUAAAGCGUGCGCAGGCGGUGAUGUAAGACCGAUGUGAAAUCCCCGGGCUUAACCUGGGAACUGCAUUGGUGACUGCAUUGCUGGAGUAUGGCAGAGGGGGGUGGAAUUCCACGUGUAGCAGUGAAAUGCGUAGAGAUGUGGAGGAACACCGAUGGCGAAGGCAGCCCCUGGGCCAACUACUGACGCUCAUGCACGAAAGCGUGGGGAGCAAACAGG